rnacentral:rRNA from 1 species
CAUUAAUGUAUUUUUAAAAUGUUGUCCUGGUUUUGUAACUGAAAUGGUUUGGCAGUGAGCGAUUCUUGUUAGGGGAAGAUGCGUAGUAAAGGAUGGUCCACCUAUUAUUUUACUCUUGUUAUGUUGGUGUAUAUCUGGUUUGAUAUUAUCGUUUAAUGGUUUGAGUUUGUGUAGUUUUAGUUAAGCCAGGUCUAUGUGCUGCUUAUGGGAGUUUUUGUGUGUUACAUUAAUAAGGGUGUUGUUGUAAUAUGAUAUUAUUUAGGACUUAAUAGUAAUGUUUAAAUUAGUUUGUUGAUGUGAAAUGAGUUUAGCUCAGGUACACACCGCCCGUCACCC